rfam:Schistosoma mattheei strain Denwood, Zambia genome assembly, scaffold: SMTD_scaffold0004347
GUACUGUUGAGAAGUCCCACAAUAGGACGAAACGGCCGUCCAGUGC